CGAUUUUCCCUUUUACCACAUUAGUUUUUGCUUUUUUCUUUUGGACACUUGAUAACAACUCAAGUCCCCAACACACAUCCACACCUCAGUAACAAAGAGAGCGUUGGCAGGCAGAGAGAGAGAGAGCCGACGAGAGAAUGAAGGGCAUCCGGCGAAUAUCCGGUGAGUACUCCGGCGCGUGAGUGGUACCAAUCUAAGACUUAGAUCAUGGCAGUGAUCUCGAUUGUCCGAUCGUGCAUCGGUGAUGGUUAUGGCAGGACGAUAGACGGCGGCGAGCUUAUUGGCCGGAAAAGGGAACGACGGUGACAGAGCCUCACUUCUCUUGCUCUCUCUGGAUAACAAAAACGGGUUCUAAUAAGGUAAGAUCAAACUGUUUUCGGUUUCAUCUUAUAGUGAUACCUUCCUUAGUCGAUCUCUAACUUCCAACUGCCAGCGGUUUGUCAAGUGUUUACUGUUGUAUAGGGGCAACAAUGACCGGCAGCAGCGGAACAGUGAAAUUUUGAACAAGAUUACUUUCACCUAGACAAAGGUUUGAAAAUGUUGGAAGGAAGGCAAAUCACCAAAUAAAUUAAAAGCCUUGCACUACUGACAAGAGAAAAUUGCUGGAAGCUUGAAGUUGAAGCUGGUAAGGUUGAAUUGACUAGCGCUCAUUGGAUUGAAGAAACAAGAAAAAUCACAAAGUCCAAUAGAAGAUGGACAUGUUAGUAUUUAUUGUCACUUUGUUUUUUUUAUUCUAAUGCAACUAAGCUAUAUCAUUUGAAUCUAAGUGAAUGGAAUAGAUUGUUACAUUUAAUGCUUAAGGGUUUGUUCAUCCUUUUCAUC